GGGGAUGUAGCCAAGUGCAAAGGCUCUGGGUUCAAUCCCAAGAUCCUGGGUUCAAUCCCCAGUAUAGCCA
rnacentral:tRNA from 1 species